rnacentral:rRNA from 1 species
GAUGAACGCUGGCGGCGUGCCUAAUACAUGCAAGUCGAGCGAACAGAUGAGGAGCUUGCUCCCCUGACGUUAGCGGCGGACGGGUGAGUAACACGUGGAUAACCUACCUAUAAGACUGGGAUAACUUCGGGAAACCGGAGCUAAUACCGGAUAAUAUAUUGAACCGCAUGGUUCAAUAGUGAAAGACGGUUUUGCUGUCACUUAUAGAUGGAUCCGCGCCGCAUUAGCUAGUUGGUAAGGUAACGGCUUACCAAGGCAACGAUGCGUAGCCGACCUGAGAGGGUGAUCGGCCACACUGGAACUGAGACACGGUCCAGACUCCUAAGGGAGGCAGCAGUAGGGAAUCUUCCGCAAUGGGCGAAAGCCUGACGGAGCAACGCCGCGUGAGUGAUGAAGGUCUUCGGAUCGUAAAACUCUGUUAUUAGGGAAGAACAAAUGUGUAAGUAACUAUGCACGUCUUGACGGUACCUAAUCAGAAAGCCACGGCUAACUACGUG